GGUAGCAUUCCUCAAGGACAUCGGUGCCACGCAGCGCGAGCGCCGGCGUGACACCGAACGUCGUUCGGAUGUAGCAUCGAAGCUAUUCCGGGCAGAUAGGAGUCGAUCACCCCGUGCCCCCCACGUUUUCUGCAUCCCGGAGUCCGAAUGAAAUCCGUGAGCCACGGCGACAACGCUUGCGUGUGUGCCGGGGAGCGCGAAUAUCACUUCGAGUUUCGCCCGAGACAGCACCGAAUGAACGGGUAGCCUAAGGCGAACGGGAAACUGUAGGCGAUCAAAUUCCGUCGGAGUAGGUACGCAACACAGGAAACCCGCUGAACGGCCAAUAUCAAUUGUGCCAAGAUUGAAGAGGAAUGCACGACUGGACGUCGCCGCUCGGAGCGGGGAUCCA
rnacentral:misc_RNA from 1 species